rnacentral:piRNA from 1 species
UAGGUAUAAGCAAAAAUACGUGAUCGGCC